GUCUUAAGGGUUUGGGAAGAGAAAAUAAAUUAGAAUAAAAUUAUUUUUUUUCAUCUUUCUUCUACCUCUUCAUCUCCUCAAUUCAUAUUCAACCUCUAAAAAAAUUUUAGAGAUUUGAAGAAAGGAUCCAAAUCAACCAAGAAGAAGGUCUUUAUGCGAGCGAGCACUCCUGAGAAGACCGAUCAGAUCGGGGCUUCGAGUGGAUUUCUCGUAG
rnacentral:lncRNA from 1 species